UUUAAUUUAAAUUUAAGAUGAACAAACACAGAAUUCUACAAGGCAAGAUGGUUCAUACUACUAGAACGUUCUGACUUAGAAACAGACAGCCUUUGCAUGUUUUCUAAAUGAUCUAGAUUUAGAUUCAGAUUUCAGCUCCAAGACCAAAUAAAGUAGAUAUCACAUAUCAAACAUGAGAAACUAAUAAACAACUCACUCCACACGCCGGCGCUUCUUUGCAAGAUUUUCAAAUAUCUGGUGAACAUCAGAAGAUGUGAUUGUCUUUGAUGUGUCAAAUGAAUCCAGAAAAGUACGAAACUCCUCCUUAAAGUCUGCGAUGCCACUCAAUAUCUCCAUCUUCUCUACAUGACCCAGUUU
rnacentral:misc_RNA from 1 species